UCAGUGGCGAACGGGUGAUUAACACGUGAGUAACCUGCCCCUGACUCUGGGAUAACCCCGGGAAACCGGAGCUAAUACCGGAUACGACACCAGGCCGCAUGGCCAUGGUGUGGAAAGUUUUUCGGUCUGGGAUGGACUCGCGGCCUAUCAGCUUGUUGGUGAGGUAAUGGCUCACCAAGGCGACGACGGGUAGCCGGCCUGAGAGGGCGACCGGCCACACUGGGACUGAGACACGGCCCAGACUCCUACGGGAGGCAGCAGUGGGGAAUAUUGCACAAUGGGCGAAAGCCUGAUGCAGCGACGCCGCGUGAGGGAUGACGGCCUUCGGGUUGUAAACCUCUUUCAGCAGGGAAGAAGCGCAAGUGACGGUACCUGCAGAAGAAGCACCGGCUAACUACGUGCCAGCAGCCGCGGUAAUACGUAGGGUGCGAGCGUUGUCCGGAAUUAUUGGGCGUAAAGAGCUUGUAGGUGGUUUGUCGCGUCUGCUGUGAAAAUCCGAGGCUCAACCUCGGACUUGCAGUGGGUACGGGCAGACUAGAGUGUGGUAGGGGAGACUGGAAUUCCUGGUGUAGCGGUGGAAUGCGCAGAUAUCAGGAGGAACACCGAUGGCGAAGGCAGGU
rnacentral:rRNA from 1 species